AUGAACGCUGGCGGCGUGCCUAAUACCUGCAAGUCGAGCGCACAGAUGAGGAGCUUGCUCCUCUGACGUUAGCGGCGGACGGGUGAGUAACACGUGGAUAACCUACCUAUAAGACUGGGAUAACUUCGGGAAACCGGAGCUAAUACCGGAUAAUAUAUUGAACCGCAUGGUUCAAUAGUGAAAGACGGUUUUGCUGUCACUUAUAGAUGGAUCCGCGCCGCAUUAGCUAGUUGGUAAGGUAACGGCUUACCAAGGCAACGAUGCGUAGCCGACCUGAGAGGGUGAUCGGCCACACUGGAACUGAGACACGGUCCAGACUCCUACGGGAGGCAGCAGUAGGGAAUCUUCCGCAAUGGGCGAAAGCCUGACGGAGCAACGCCGCGUGAGUGAUGAAGGUCUUCGGAUCGUAAAACUCUGUUAUUAGGGAAGAACAAAUGUGUAAGUAACUAUGCACGUCUUGACGGUACCUAAUCAGAAAGCCACGGCUAACUACGUG
rnacentral:rRNA from 1 species